rnacentral:rRNA from 1 species
GAUGAACGCUGGCGGCGUGCCUAAUACAUGCAAGUCGAGCGAACAGAUGAGGAGCUUGCUCCUCUGACGUUAGCGGCGGACGGGUGAGUAACACGUGGAUAACCUACCUAUAAGACUGGGAUAACUUCGGGAAACCGGAGCUAAUACCGGAUAAUAUAUUGAACCGCAUGGUUCAAUAGUGAAAGACGGUUUUGCUGUCACUUAUAGAUGGAUCCGCGCCGCAUUAGCUAGUUGGUAAGGUAACGGCUUACCAAGGCAACGAUGCGUAGCCGACCUGAGAGGGGGAGCGGCCACACGGGAACUGAGACACGGUCCAGACUCCGAGGGGAGGCAGCAGUAGGGAAUCUUCCGCAAUGGGCGAAAGCCUGACGGAGCAACGCCUCGUGAGUGAUGAAGGUCUUCGGAUCGUAAGACUCUGUUAUUAGGGAAGAACAAAUGUGUAAGUAACUAUGCACGUCUUGACGGUACCUAAUCAGAAAGCCACGGCUAACUACGUG